GAUGAAGAACGUAGCGAAAUGCGAUACUUGGUGUGAAUUGCAGAAUCCCGUGAACCAUCCAGUCUUUGAACGCAAGUUGCGCCUCAAGCCAUUAGGUUGAGGGCACGUCUGCCUGGGCGUCACAUAUCGUUGCCUGAUGCCAGUUUCCUCGUGAUGGGUGACUGUGCAGGGCGAAUGAUGGCUUCCCGUGAGCAUUGUUGCCUCAUGGUUGGUUGAAAAUUGAGUCCUUGGUAGGGAGCGCCGUGAUAGAUGGUGGUUGAGUGACGAACGAGACCCAAUCAUGUGAGACCCCUACCGAAUUUGGCCUUCAUGACCCACAUGCGUCUUUGGAACGCUCAUGACGAGACCUCAGGUCAGGCGGGGCUACCCGCUGAGUUUAAGCAUAUCAAUAAGCGGAGGA
rnacentral:misc_RNA from 1 species